GGCUGCUGCCAGUGGUCAAAGCCUCCAACAAAGCUCUACUGAGUUGCUGUAACCUCUCAGAGAGAAGCUGUGAUGCUCUGUCCUCAGUUCUCAACUCCCAGGCCUCUAGUCUGAAAGAGCUGGACCUGAGUAACAAUGACCUGCAGGAUUCAGGAGCGAAGCUUUUGUCUGCUGCUCUGCAGAGUCCACAUUGUACACUGGAAACUCUCAGAUUGAAGGACUGUGGUUUGUCAGAGAUCAGCUGUGAUUAUCUGGCAGCAGCGCUGAAGUCCAACCCCUCGUAUCCCAGAGUGCUGGACCUGAGUGUAGACUACAACAACCUGCAGGAUUCAGGAGUGAAGCAGCUGUGUGUUCUUCUGGAGAAUCCACGAUGUCGAUUUGAAACUCUGAGACUGAGUCACUGUGACCUGUCAGAGAGAAGCUGUGAAGCUCUGUCCUCAGGUCUCAGCUCUCAGACCUCUAAUCUGAGAGAGCUGGACCUGAGUAACAUUAACCUGAAGGAUUCAGGCGUGAAGCUUCUGUCUGAAGGACUGAAGAGUCCACACUGUACACUGGAAACUCUCAGUCUGUCAGGCUGUCUGAUCACAGAGGAAGG